AUGGUUUUUAUUUUGUUGAGUUUUUCUUUUGUUACAGGUGAUUUUAUAUCAAUGACUAAAAUGAACCAUGGAAGAAUGGUAAACAAAUGUUUCAGUCAAAUAAAAAUACACUUAAUUAAAACAGUCAAUUUAAAUACCCAGGAUAUAAAGUUGAUUUUUCCCUGUUGUGUUAAGUUACCUGCAGGUAAUGAUGGAGGCUACAGUGUGAUCACGUCAGUACCUGAUGACAACUGUCUUAAUAGAGAGAAACUAAACUUGGAACAGACAAAAAAUGAAGAUGUAAGUUAACCCUGGUGUAGUAAUAAAUAUGUCCGCUUCUUAAUCAAUGCUACUGACUAAAAGGUCAUUACUCUUUCUCUUCUAGUCUGACAUUUACCAUGUGUACGCCACCAUCUCUGAAGAAACAGAUCCACCAGAUUCACAAGACAUGAUAUACAGCAUGCUGAAUGCACACUGAAACACAGUGAAACAUUUUUGUUGACGUUGUUAGUAAAAUGUCUAAAAUGAUCUAAAUCAUGUCAAAGUGAGGAAAGUGUGACAGGUAAUAGAACAAUCUUGCAAAAAAUCUUGAGCUUGAAUUGAGUUUUUUUUUCUAUUGAAAGAUAACUGACAUGAUGAUGAUUUCGGCUUUAGUAUUUUUAAUAAGCGCUCUUAGAUAUUUAUUGUUUUGUUUUCAGUAAUUGUAAGUUGGAAGAUGACAGUCAAAACUCCUGAGUCAUUUCCAAGCUUAGAACAAUGUAUACUUUUCAGUGUAGGGAUCGUUACAAAGAAAGUAUUAUGUAUUAUGUAUUACACAUUUAAAAAAAAAAAAAAAUGAAUGCAGUAUGUUCAUCGCCAGAGAAAGUAAUUUGUUACACUACUUGUUACAUUACUUUCUCAUCAUCAGUAAAAUGACCUGAAAUGCAAUGUCUCAUAAUUACCAAUUAAGAAUAUAGACUUUAGGCUAAAGUCCCACACACCAACACAAAUCCCUAUCCUAAUUAUAAAACACUCUUUCACAAAACCGACAACAACAAGAAAAGAUGGAAACCAGCCCAAAGAGACUUCAAAGUGAUUGCAACAUCAAUUCUGCUGUAGAAAUACAAAGGGAUCUGGCAGCUCCAUCACUCUGGGUUCUUGGCUAGCUUUGUGUUAAUUUGCGCAGAUGCUUGCAAAAACAUUGUAGUUAUUUUUUUUCCUGGAUGCAGUUUUCACUUUACCAUGGUCCACUCCCCCUUUUGUGCAAUAAACAUAAAGUUAGUGUGCAUAUCUUCACCCGUGAAAUGUUGUUGACUGCUCCCCUAUGUUCUUGUAAAGGCUUUACUUUAUAAGAACUGAUUUUAGUUUAGUUUCGUUGCAUUUCUCAGAAAUCCUGUGCUUUGAAUGCCUAAAAUGUAUCCAGACAUCUUCCAUUUUAACCAUGUACAAGAGCCAUGUAAGAAAUGGAAAACCAUAUUCAGUGAAACAAGCAAAUAAAUGACAUUAAAUAAAUUUUAAUGUCUGUUUUCUGCCUCUGUAAAGCACUUUGUGAUUUUUAUCUUGAAAGGUGCUAUAUAAAUAAAAUUUUACUUACUUUACUUACUUUAAUUAAUUAAUUAAUUAAUUAAUUAAUUUAAAAUAAGCAAAAAAAACCAACAACCCCCCCCCCAAAAAAAAAAACACCUGCUAACUGUGCUCUAGAGUUGCUAUUUUAUUUUGUUUCUUAAUGUUUAAAAGAAACAUUUCUGUAACUGGAUUUACAUUUACACAUGUAUCACAACACUGGCAAUCGGGUAAUGCACAUCUCUUUUCAUGCUCAUGUGAGCUCAUCUCUCACAGCCAGAAAGAUUUUUAGAUAGGAAUCUCUAUCUUUACUGAGGGCUAUGAAAUACAUCUCUCCUUAAUCUUAUCUGUACCCUGUCUGUUAUUGCACAAAGAAAUAAAGCUGUUUAGUACUCAGAGUACUGAGAAUGUAUCUAUGUAAUACAACUCCAGUAUAUAAAUUUGUGUAGAUGAUGCUCUGCUACUCUGAGUUGUGACAAUAACAUUAGCAGUUAGUCUUUUGUUGCGUGCUGUGACUGCACACAGGCUUGUAAAAAUAGGCAACAUAUAAUUGACCCUCAGCCCACCAACCAGCUGCAGUUUUUAGGUCAGCACACAAAACCAUUUUAGGCCAAAGAAUAUGAGGGCGAAAAAAUACGGGAAGAAUAAUGUACUGUAGCUGGUUGCUGUACUGCACAGCUGCUACAGUUUGCCUAGUAGUAGUAACAUAAUCAUGUGACAUAAAACAUUUAUUGAUGAUGAUGAAACUUUGUAUCCACACAGGUAACAGAAGUAAAACAACAGGGGGAAGAUCUGAAAUUUACAUUCAGCAAAUCGAGAUGUAUGUUUUUGGUUCUAGGUUUCAUUUGUAUGAAAUGUCACUGUGAGAUGUAUUAGAGAUAUGUAGUUUUUCAUUUUCCAUUUCUGGUUCCUGGUUAUUACACAUAAACUAACUCAGGUAAUAAGUCACAGUAUUUGUCGCGUGUUCUUUUUCUCUAGGAUAAAGAAAGCACACACACACACACACACACACCUACACACACACACACACACACACACACACACAGUCUUGUAAACCACUUUUCUAAUCCUCACACAUUAAACAUCCAUCCAUCCAUCUUCUUCCGCUUAUCCGGGGCCGGGUCGUGAUAACGACAUUAAACAUAUUAUUUAAAUUGUUUUGGUGGGUAAACUUACCAUUUUCUUCUCAUAAUAUUAUUAUAAUAUUAUUAAUUGUUUUCUCAUAGGCUGAUGUUUGUUUCCACAUUAUUAUCAGCAGUUUCUGGGUGUAUGCAUAUAACCAGAAGAAGGACAAUGUGGGCAUGCACAGCACAUUUCAUGCUCACGCAAGCGGCCUUAAGUUCCUUUUUCACAACAUCUUUUGAGGCCAGUGAGACUUUCAGACACAGAGCCCACUGGUGUAUUUAUAAACUGUGGUAUCUGAAUCAGUCACAUGAUUUGUGAAAUUAUAAAUAAUAUAAAUGAAAAUAUAGUCUAAAAUUUGAACUCUGGAAUAAUUGUGUGACAAUAUAUACAAUUUCUUGAUUGUACAUAUUAUCUAAUGCUACAUAGUAGCAUUAGGAAUUAAGACCCCUACUGUACUAUCAAGUUUGUGCACUGCACCUCGAUUGACCUUCAUCUGAGGAAGAGCUAAAGCAACAGAAAUGAUACUGUAGCAUAUUAAUCUUAACUUAGCCCACCUUGUGGUGACUGGUAUUAAUAACACACACAUAGGUACUUUUAAUUAGCUGCUCUUUAUAUGUGUAGCUUUGUGGCCUCAAUAUGUGAUGAAGUACUUCUCCUGCCUCUUGUGGUUUUCCUGUGACCAACUGCUACAAAAUGAUUCAUCCCCUUCUGUGUCGUCAGAAACGUCAGAAUCUUCUUCUCAACAGAUGCCUUUGGUGUGCUGUCCUAAUGUGUAAGUUAAACAUCCUGCAGAUUUUGCAAUAUUUAAUGUGAUCUCUCAACAUUCGUGUAAGUUCACACUUGAAACAUAUAUUUUGCUAAAGUUAUUUCAGACUUAAUAAUAGAUUUAUUUAUGUUCUUGACAUAUAUUUUCAGCAGUGUCCUUCCAUGUAAUUCAAGUACAAGGUCAGUCUCUGAUCUACUGUCUUUAUUGCUGAGUUGUGUCGUCACUGUAUGUUAUUCCAUGAUUAGUCUAUGAUUGGAUUGGGUAAUGUAUAACUGCUUAAAUGGGGGAAAAAAGGGUUAAAAAAAAAGACACAGGUAUAUUAUAUGACAUAACAUCUAAGUGUUCAGUAUAACAUGUCUUGGUUUGAAACUGGCAAUGAAACAGCAGUGAUCACAGAAUUUGUUUUGUCAUAAUUUUUGCCUGCUGAUCUCACAUCAGAGUUCAUCUGCCAAAGUGUCAUGGUCUGGGUGAGUGAGAUGUUUUUUCAUAGAGCUGGGGCUCCACCUCUGGAUGGAGUCUCCAUUCAGCAGUCUCACCUGUCUGCAAUCAAGCUACCAGUAUUUAAGACCAGCACAUUCAACAAGUCUUCUCCAGAUCUACAGCUAACCAGUGUUAGUGUUAGGCUACAUUGAAAGUAGUAUUCUCACUUAACCUGUGUCUCUCUGUUCUAGUAACCCACCAGGUCACCACGCUUCACUCUUGAGCAAUACUUACCUUCAUUAGGACGUCGGUCUCGCUGCAAUCACCCAGUCUGGUUACCCUCCAUUCCUCUCUACACAUCACCUGCCUUCCUUCCUGUCAUGGCAUCUGGAACUCAUUUGGAUCUGGACUUUGACUCACCCCGGAUUGGAAACUCACUCUGACCUUUUUGGACUGCCCUCCUUCCACAUCGUUCUCCGCCUGCAACGAGUAAGCCAUUAGAAACACUUCCAGCCUUACUUACCAUUAAUCACUGGAACCCAGCUGACUCUCUGCACUCCUUUUGUUGCAGUUACUCUGCACUGCUUCACCCGAGCCACAGCCCCUCCUCCCCUUGGCCCUGUUCAUGGACUUUAGAAUUAACUUUAACUCAAAGAUUAAGCUCGCGUUUUGACUUUUUAGGUUGUCUCGUAAGUUCUCAGUUCAUAGUCGACACCCUAAGGUUUAGUCUCACUUUGUAAAUAAAGCACUGUCUUCACAUCAGUUUGUGCCUCUGUCUCUGUCUCUGUCUGCAUUUGAGGCCUCUCACCUGGUCUGGCCUCUCGGCCGUAACACAAAGUAGAAGUGAGACUUUGCCUUCUUACACUUAUUGACAAAAAGACAUUUCUAUAUUGUAUUUUAUUUGCCUUAAAAUCACCUAAAAUGACAAAAAAGAGUAUUGUUACAUUGCAGGUCAUGUAGAAUAUAAGUGAUAAUAUAGGGCUUUUGUGAAUGUCAAUAUGAUUUCAAAUACUAAUACAGAAUCUUAGUUUCCUUGAUUGCAGACUGAUGCAAAAUGUUUAAUGUAAGUUGUGUACAUUAAUCUUCAUGUAAGUCAAAAACUACAGAUGAUGGUUCAGCAUUUUAUUGGUAACCAAGUUAACUUCACUUGCUCUCUGCCUCGAUCUGUGAAACAUUAAAGCAAAUACAAUCUGUACUUUGGAGAAGAAAGUUGUCCUCUCAUAACAACAACUGUCUGGAAGAAAAGCAGCUCAAAAAGCAAACAGAGGUGCUGCCAG
rnacentral:lncRNA from 1 species